rnacentral:rRNA from 1 species
GUCAUAACGACUCUCGGCAACGGAUAUCUCGGCUCUCGCAUCGAUGAAGAACGUAGCGAAAUGCGAUACUUGGUGUGAAUUGCAGGAUCCCGUGAAUCAUCGAGUCUUUGAACGCAAGUUGCGCCCGAAGCCACUAGGCCUAGGGCACGCCUGCCUGGGCGUCAC